GGGACCAGCCAGCACUGCUGGAAGUGGGACCUAUUACAGCCCCACACUCCAGGCCGAGCUGUAGUGGAUCCAGCUUGAGAUGGCUGGAAAUGAGCACCGAGUACAGCUCUAUGGGCCUUGGCUUCUUGAAAGCCUGGCCCCUUUGAAAAGCUAGGAGCUUGUGGCAAUGGGCGAGAGGACAGUCCUGAUGAACAGGGCUGUCAUUGUUGCGAGACUGCUCAGCACCUGCUUCAUGCCCGGCACCAUGCACUAGGAUUUAAGUGUUCAUUGGAAGCCGUCAUCUGAGUGAGCUUCCCAAUCAGGACAUCUGGCAGGGUCCAGUGACGUCUUCGAAGGAUGGUCACACCUGGGGAGGGGACGGGCUGUUUGCACCUGGUUUGUAAAGGCAAGGAUUCUGCUCAACACUCUUAUGGUGCACGGGACAGACUCCCACAGCAAAGAACAAUCCAGCCCAGACGCCAGCCGUGCCGGGGUUGGGAAAGCCUGGUCCACUGAUGAGCAAGAGAGACAGUGUCCCUGCCCUGCCACAUUUUGCAGAGAACAGACAGGAAGGGAGGAAAGGAAGAGAAAAAGCAACAAAGUAAAUUAGGGACAAAGAAAAGGGUCCGAGUUGAUUAGUGCUCGGGAAGGAGGCGGGGGCUGCAGUGAGAGCAGUGGUGACGGGGCCUUGGCCAAGGUCGGGUCGAUGGGGCCAGCUUCCUGUGCAGGGGGCGAGGUGUCCAAGCCCAGAGAGCCAGAGGGAAAGGAGACUCGGGUCAGGCCAGCUUGCCUGGCAGCAAGGGAAAGCAGCAGGGAAGGUCUGCACACAGGGAGAGACGGAGGGGGGUUCCAAGAUCCAGAGCCUCCGGAGCUCUUUGGAGGAGGUUGGGGUACGUGACGGGGAGCCAAAGCGUGCAGCCGAGGCAGACAGCUCGGAUAUCCAGUGGCCCCCAGGUAUUUACAGGGCUUCACUUCUGGGACCCCAUAGAUACCAGUGUCUGCAAUGCCAACACCGGAGGGACGCACAGACCCCUUAUGGAAAAUGACAUAGCAGAGCAUUUGCGUAUAUGUAGCCUACUUACCUCUUCCUGUGCAUUUCAGAAGUCUACGUGAUCCCUAACACUAUGUGAAUGCUGUGCAAACAGCUGUUACGCUGUGUUGUUCAGGGAACGGUGACAAGGAGAAUGUAUCUGUGCAUGCUCAGGACGGUCACAAUGUGUUCCUCUCCAUAUUCUCCGUCCCAGAUUGGCUGCGUCCAGGGAGAGAAACGCCCUAGGUAAAAAGGGCUGACUGCUACCCAGGGAAUAUGGGAGACUUGUGACAAGGGCUCCCUCUAGGGUCUGGGUUGUAUGGCCUGGCGGAAAUGUCACCCCCUGGAGGCCCUGUUUGUCACUUGCAAAAUGGAGGUCACAGUAGGCCCUACCUCAGGAGCAUUAUGAGGACCAGUCUUGCCCAGUGUUCAGGAAAUGGAAGCUGUCGGCUUUAAGAGACUGAGGGAGGAACGCGUGCUGUUCUUCGAGGGUGGUGCCUGGCUUGUGGCUGGCUCUUUAAAGUUUCGUCUUAUUCCCUUAUUUUGAAAAGGUCAGACGUGGCCUGGAGUAUCAGAUUGAAAGAACACAAAAGGGUAUACUGAGAAGAACGUUCCUGGUGUCAGAGAGAAAGAUGAGAACCUAUCAGGUGCUCGCCUUCCUCCUGGUCUUGGUGAUCGCCUCUGUGGCCUCUGAAAACGCCAGCACGUCCACGGGGCUGCGGGCUCGACCUCCUCCCUCAGUACGUGUCCCUGUGCGACCUGGACGCCAUUUGGGGCAUCGUGGUGGAGGCGGUGGCGGGGCAGGCGCCCUGAUCACGCUGCUCUUGAUGCUCAUACUCCUGGUGCGGCUGCCCUUCAUCAAGGACAAGGGAGAAGAAGAGGCCCGUGUGCCUCCACUUCCUCUUCCUCCUGGGGACCCUGGGCCUCUUUGGGCUGACGUUCGCCUUCAUCAUCCGGAUGGAUGAGACUAUCUGCUCAAUACGCCGCUUCCUCUGGGGUGUCC
rnacentral:lncRNA from 1 species